rnacentral:rRNA from 1 species
UACGUAGGGUCCGAGCGUUGUCCGGAAUUAUUGGGCGUAAAGGGCUCGUAGGCGGUCUGUUGCGUCGGGAGUGAAAACUUACAGCUUAACUGUGAGCGUGCUUCCGAUACGGGCAGACUUGAGGUAUUCAGGGGAGAACGGAAUUCCUGGUGUAGCGGUGAAAUGCGCAGAUAUCAGGAGGAACACCGGUGGCGAAGGCGGUUCUCUGGGCCUUACCUGACGCUGAGGAGCGAAAGCGUGGGGAGCAAACAGG